ensembl:lncRNA
UUCUCACGCUUCUGAUUGCUUUCUCCUUCCUUUUCUCUUUCUAGAUUUAGAUAUGGCCAGAGACCCCAAGGGGAGCCGGGCCCGGCCUGGCCAGAAGCGACAGCACAGCGCUACCCUCUACCACAGUAACUGUGACCUGAACUAUGAGCUGUAUCGGGAAGACUUCCCCUACAGGUUGUAUGAGUAUCAGAGGAUCCCCCCACUUAUCAACCGAGCACCUGUCAAGAGCAGACGGACCCACAUGGGCGCAGGAGGCAAGAGUGGCCUCAGUCCCCACAUUCCUCCACGAAGCAACAACCCACCCCCCGUCCGGACAAAGUUAAGAGCCGAGGAGCUGCACUCAAUCAAGGGGGAGCUGAGCCAGAUCAAGGUCCAGGUGGACAGUCUGCUCGAGAGCCUGGAGCGUAUGGACCAGCGGCGAGACCGGCUGGGAGGGCCCCAAGACGGUGAGAAGAAGGCGGCCUCAGCCAGCGGAGAAUCCCCCAGUGCAGCAGCUGAGGCCCAGCGAGAGCCCCGGGGCAAGGAGAGCCCAGAGCCCAGAGCCCGCAGCCGAAGGGAUGCCGACAGUGCGGAGGAGAGCACGGACACGGAGGAGGCGGGGAGGAUGAAAAAUCACACCUUGGACCCCGAUGGGAGUCAGUAGAAGCUCUGGGGCCCCUGCUGUGGCCUCCCCAGCUCGGAUCCUUUCCUUUUCCUGUGUUUGUAUUUCUUUGAGGCCUCCCAGCCAGUGCCACGUGUCUCCUGCCCUCCAUUCUCCCCGCUGUUACAGUAGAGCCUCGUCUGCUCCUGCCCACGGGAGCCUGCUGGGUGUCCUGCAUUCUCUACAGAACCCGUAGAAGUCCCUGAGGUGCCGGCCUGCAGUAAUGGGUCUGGGGAGGCAGGAAAAUGCAGCAGGUCUAGAACUUCCUUUUGAAUACCAACCCUUCUUUCCUCUGUGUUGGUCCCCCCAUCCCAUGAAAAAGGGGUUCCCUUGGUAGUAAGACUUGGCAGGACAGGGGCAUUUGGGGAAGAGUCUGGGCAGACCCCUCAGUUCCAAAUUCAUCCUUCUCUUCCCUCACCAAGAUGCUCAGUGAUGUUUUUCAGUUCCCCACCCCUCCUGGGUACCCUCAGCAUCUCUCUUGGGGGAGAACUGGUGCCAUCCCACCCCUUGACCUCUCUGGCAUAGUCAGCUUGUAACAGUAUUUGCUCUUUUCCUGGCCCCAGCAGAAAGUGGUUUGUCUAAGACACCACCCAGGUUCUGCUCCCCACGUCAGCCAUUUAACAUGGAAACCCCCAGUGUUCCUUCUGGGGCUCCCUCAGCUGUCCUUCCUCCCAGCAGCGUGAGGAGAGGGGAUCGAUGUCCCUGAGAAGGCCAACCAAGCCAAAUGUUAGCUCCAUCUCAGCUCCCGUGGCUCACCGAGGUUUCCCCUUUUUCCGGGAUCACGUGGCUUCAAUGUUUUGCACUACUAGCCUUCACGUGACCCCUUUCUCUCCCCCUGGUCCCCACAGAAUUCCAUACCCCAGUGGUGCAUGGGAAAUGAAUUCUGUUUCUGACAGGUGCAUUUCUGCUCCAUAGAAGAUAGUCAGGUCCUUGGUUGAUGUUGCUCUGGUUAACCCUGUUAUUUCCCUGCUUUCCCUCCCUCUUCCCCCCCGUGCCGUCCUUU